rnacentral:rRNA from 1 species
CAGCAGCCACGGGAAUACGAAGGGGGCUAGCGUUGCUCGGAAUUACUGGGCGUAAAGGGAGCGUAGGCGGACAUUUAAGUCAGGGGUGAAAUCCCAGAGCUCAACUCUGGAACUGCCUUUGAUACUGGGUGUCUUGAGUGUGAUAGAGGUAUGUGGAACUCCGAGUGUAGAGGUGAAAUUCGUAGAUAUUCGGAAGAACACCAGUGGCGAAGGCGACAUACUGGAUCAUUACUGACGCUGAGGCUCGAAAGCGUGGGGAGCAGACAGGAUUAGAUACCCCGGUAGUCCCUGUCUCUUAUAC